GACGAACGCUGGCGGCGUGCCUAAUACAUGCAAGUUGAGCGCUGAAGGUUGGUACUUGUACCAACUGGAUGAGCAGCGCACGGGUGAGUAACGCGUGGGGAAUCUGCCUUUGAGCGGGGGACAACAUUUGGAAACGAAUGCUAAUACCGCAUAAAAACUUUAAACACAAGUUUUAAGUUUGAAAGAUGCAAUUGCAUCACUCAAAGAUGAUCCCGCGUUGUAUUAGCUAGUUGGUGAGGUAAAGGCUCACCAAGGCGAUGAUACAUAGCCGACCUGAGAGGGGGAUCGGCCACAUUGGGACUGAGACACGGCCCAAACGCCUACGGGAGGCAGCAGUAGGGAAUCGUCGGCAAUGGACGAAAGUCUGACCGAGCAACGCCGCGGGAGGGAAGAAGGUUGUCGGAUCGUAAAACUCGGUUGGUAGAGAAGAACGUUGGUGAGAGUGGAAAGCUCAUCAAGUGACGGUAACUACCCAGAAAGGGACGGCUAACUACGUG
rnacentral:rRNA from 1 species